UCCAAAAUAGCAAAUUUAACAAAAUAUUUACAAUUUAUAGUAAAAUUUUCAGAUUCAAUCACUAAUAGACACUAAUAGACAUUAAUAGACACUAAUAUUGUGAUUGAUAGAAGGUGGUAGAGGAAAAGGUUAAUUGGGUUGGUGUUGAAAAAGAGUGAAAUGUGAUUUGCAUAGAAACAUCCAGAUGCUUGGCUGCCGAUACUCUGUGUUUACCAAAAGCAUUCCAAAAUGCCAUAAAUCUGAAUGUCGGUGGAAAGAUCCGUACCGACGAAAUAUAAAUUCAAUUCAUUAUCUCUACCCUACACGUGGCAUCCAAUCUCCAGCCUUGGCCCAGCCUGGCACACUCUCCCCCACUUACUAAAUUUUAGCCACACCAUUCUCCUUUCCACCAUAAUGCCUUCCCACUCUUUAUCUUAUUACUAAAUAUGCCAUUCCAGAGUGUUUUCCUCUUUUCUUUUUUUUUUUUCCUUUUUUUUCCUUUUUUUUCUUUUUAUCUUUUCUUAUAUUACUUAGUUUUCCCCAUUUCCCGGGUCAAACGCAACUGACACUCUCUAAUAUAAUAAUACUAUUUAAUCAAUAUCAUUAAUUCGCUCACCUCCUAAAUUACAUAUUUUAUCCUACCAAAAUUUUCUUUUUAUUUUCAUGCUUCCAUAUAAAUCUUUUUUAUUAAAGCUUUAUAAAUCAUUAAAUUUUAACCUUUUCUUUUUAUUUAUAAAUAAAUAAAUAAAUAAAUUUAUAAUUCAGGAGAAUCAAAGAAGUGAGGUGUCACCUAUGAAUAUUUUGGUGCAUUAUCAUAUUUUUAGCUAUGUUCUAAUUAGAGAUUAUUCUAUUUAUUAUUCAAAUAAAAAUAUAAUGCCUUUUUAAUUGAAUUAUUAUGCAAACUUUUUUUUUUUUAUAAUUACAAAACUGUUAAUAAAUAUUACAAAAUUUAAUAUUUUACUAUCUAUAGAGUUUAUUUGGAUAUAUUUGAAGUAUAUAAAAUUGAUACUCACUGCCAUUCAAUUCAAUUCUAUUCUAUUCCCUUCCAUGUUUCACUUUCAGGUAAUCAAUCAAUUAACUUUAUUUUUGUAAUUUGAACCACACUUUGUCAAAAUGAUGCAGCCCAGAUGUAAAUUUCUCAUCCAUAAAUAAAAAUAAAUUAUAUAUUUGGAUCUAAAAUAAUACCCUAUUCAUCUACUUCAUUGCCCUAAUUCUUUUCAUAAUGAAAUAGAGUGCUAUACACAAAUAGAAUUUAAACUAUACAAAAUAAUUUUCACAUGCCAAAUUCUUACCUAAUUUUUCAUUUUAAAACAAACUAUACCCACCAUGCCUCCAAUCUGAUGGAAGGACUAAAAAAAAUAAGAACUAAAUUGAAUGAUAAGGAAAAU
rnacentral:lncRNA from 1 species